rnacentral:rRNA from 1 species
AAUAUUGCACAAUGGGCGCAAGCCUGAUGCAGCGACGCCGCGUGAGGGAUGAAGGCCUUCGGGUUGUAAACCUCUUUCAGCAGGGAAGAAGCGCAAGUGACGGUACCUGCAGAAGAAGCGCCGGCUAACUACGUGCCAGCAGCCGCGGUAAUACGUAGGGCGCAAGCGUUGUCCGGAAUUAUUGGGCGUAAAGAGCUCGUAGGCGGUUUGUCGCGUCUGGUGUGAAAACUCAAGGCUCAACCUUGAGCUUGCAUCGGGUACGGGCAGACUAGAGUGCGGUAGGGGUGACUGGAAUUCCUGGUGUAGCGGUGGAAUGCGCAGAUAUCAGGAGGAACACCGAUGGCGAAGGCAGGUCACUGGGCCGCAACUGACGCUGAGGAGCGAAAGCAUGGGGAGCGAACAGGAUUAGAUACCCUGGUAGUCCAUGCCGUAAACGUUGGGCACUAGGUGUGGGGCUCAUUCCACGAGUUCCGUGCCGCAGCAAACGCAUUAAGNGCCCCGCCUGGGGA